ensembl:lncRNA
CUCAACAACAUAGGUCAGACAUGUCCUGCAGCAGGUGAUCACUCACUACAGUGAUCAGACAUUUCCUGCAGCAGGUGAUCACUCACUACAGUGAUCAAACAUGUCCUGCAGCAGGUGAUCACUCACUACAGUGAUCAGACAGUUUAGCUUCAUAGAGGAAUGUAUAAUUGUAGUAAUUUUUACAGGUCCCAACACCUACAGUCUAAAGUGCUUUCUAGCUAAUGUACUGUUAGCAUAACAGGUCCCAACACAUACAGUCUAAAGUGCUUUCUAGCUAAUGUUCUGUUAGCAUAACAGGUCCCAACACGUACAGUCUAAAGUGGUUCUGCUACAGAGUAGUCAAACAACAUUAUCUGACAGUAGCUAAUGUUCUGUUAGCAUAACAGGUUCUGAUACGGAGUAGUCAAAACAACAUUAUCUGACAGUAGCUAAUGUUCUGUUAGCAUAACAGGUCCCAACACGUACAGUCUAAAGUGCUCUCUAGCUAAUGUUCUGUUAGCAUAACAGGUCCCAACACGUACAGUCUAAAGUGCUCUCUAGCUAAUGUUCUGUUAGCAUAACAGGUCCCAACACGUACAGUCUAAAGUGCUUUCUAGCUAAUGUUCUGUUAGCAUAACAGGUCCCAACACGUACAGUCUAAAGUGGUUCUGCUACAGAGUAGUCAAACAACAUUAUCUGACAGUAGCUAAUGUUCU